rnacentral:lncRNA from 1 species
GGGUUCAAGUGAUUCUCCCGCCUCAGCCUCACGAGUUGCUAGGAUUCCAGGCGUCACAUCUCUUACAGAAUAUUCACAAAACCCCCUCGGCUUCACACAGCAGACAGAAGCCUAAAAUCCCUCCCGAAACAUCCCUUCUCAGGUACAAAUCCACCAGACGAGCAUCAACAACGGCAUGAGAUUUGAAGGAAAGUCAGAACUGUCCUUCAGGUCCAGGUGGCCUAGAGACGCAGAAAGAAUGCCAAGUUUGGACCCCUAGUCAUCUCAUAGGAACAGGUGCAUCUUGAGAAAAUCAUUUUCUCCCUCCUUGAGUGGGAUUCCUCAGGGAUAGGGGAAAAUAACUGGACUGGUUGGCCCCUUAAAGCAUCUACCAGAUCUAAGAUUCUGUGAGGGUCCGUGUUACCACAACAGCCAUCCAUGGUUGCAAGUGAUGGAGAAGAGCAGAAGGAAGCCACUUACUAUUAAAAGUGGUGUAUCAGCCAGAAAAUGUUGGAAAGAGACCAUUUCAGCUUGAAAGUCGGCUCGCUCCUAGUAUUCAUUCAGGAUUCCAAGUUCCUUGCAUUUGUAAUUCAUUACUAGUGAGCUAAAUAUACCACAAGUGUAAAAUGUCUCAGAGAAAACACUCCCAUCAUCAUCAGCAAUAUGGAAAAUACAUGGCCGUCACAUCAGAGGAGAAACUUGCCUCAAAAUAAUUUGGAUAUUUACAGCCACACACACAAUGUGAUGAUUUAGAUGAUUUCUAAAGCCAUGAAGCUUCUCAGGCCUGGCAGAAAGUAUAAAAAAUAUUAGGAUGACUAUGCCUAACAACAGCAAGAAUUUGGUGCUGAGAAAAGAGGGCUACUAAAAAAAAAAAACUAAGGGACCAUGUUAUUCACAGAGCUUUAUGAAAUUGCCAAAAA